AUUAGCUGACGAGUUCAAAAUAGGACGAAACACGCGCCCUGGAU
rnacentral:hammerhead_ribozyme from 1 species